GCCCGCUUGGCCCAGGGGUAAGGCGUCGUAUGUCAAAUGAGAAGAUCCUGUGUUCGAAUCACAGAGUGGGCA
rnacentral:tRNA from 1 species